GCGGGUGUGGUGAAAUUGGUAGACGCGCCAGACUCAAAAUCUGGUGUCCGCAAGGACGUGCCGGUUCGACUCCGGCCACCCGCACCA
rnacentral:tRNA from 2 species